GUGCUCACUUUGACAGCACAUAUAUGAAAAUUGGAAUGAUAUAGAGAAGAUUAGCAUGGCCACUACACAAGGAUGACACACAAAUUCAUGAAGUGCUCGAUAUUUUU
rnacentral:snRNA from 1 species